AUGUUUGCGAGACACGGUGCACCACUACUAUCUGUCCGACUGUAAACAACAGGAACUAGAAAAGCACUCAGAGAGUGCGAUACUCCGCCAAGUCUGCUCAGUUCAGUAAAACAUAAUAGUUUAGACAUACUAAACUAUAACGUUUUAGUGACAUUUUGGACGGCAUAAUUUUAUUAUUAUUAUAUUAUCCAGUGUAUGUUUUCUCUUUUUUUCUACAUUUUUUUCAAGUUUAAAAAGAUCCCCUUUAUCACAAUGCAAGCUCAAAGGUCUUUUUCAGACACACACACACACACACACACACACACAAACACACACACGCAGACACACACACGCAGACACACACACACACACACACACACACACACACACAUACAUACACACAUACAUACAUUCACACACACGACGUUUUUUCCACAUUUUGGAUGACAUACUAAACUAUGACAUUUUUGUGACAUUUUAGACGACAUACUAAACUAUGACGUUUUAAUGGCAUGUCGGACAACAGACGAAACAAGAACAGCACUCAGAGAGCGCAGUACUCUGCCAAGGCUGCUCAGUUGGUGUAUCAUUUCUGACGUAUGAAAUAUUUAAGAAAAAAUUACUUUGUGCUUAGCACAGGCAUGUGUUAUGCAUGUGCAUGUUAUGUAUGGAUACCGAAUGGUGUGUAAAUUACUCUUAUAAAGAUCUGCUGAUCAGUUCAUCACUUUUUGCAAGCCUUUGUUUUGCUGGUGUGACCGGCUGAUGAGCCACCAUGCCAUACAGCUGUGGGGGAACUAAUGAUUGGUUUGGCCAUUGCAGCAGGGGGUUCAAAUUGAUUGACGGACAUAGCUCCAGUAUGCUCCUGAACACUCUUGGACAGAUACGCGCUGUGCAGCAUGCGGCACACUGGUAAGCUUUAGAUUUUGUAUUAAUAUUGUUUCUUCUUUUAAGACCAGUCUUCUGUGGCUGCAGUGCCGAGUCCGCCGACGGUGUCUCUGCUUAUCGGCGGCGUCAUGCACGUGUAGGGUCGGACAGCCGAGCGGCAGAGGAAGUGCUUAUCUAAGAAGCGUUUUUUGACAUGACGAAGACGCUGCCGAAAAGUCCGAAAAUUCAUGUAAAGAUGAAAGAAAACGGUUCCACGCUGUUGCUGUCUAGCAAAGGAUGUGUCUAAACUUGGAAGCACCUAGCUGGAAUGGAGACAAGCUCUGAUGGGGUUUCCUGAAGAAAGGAGUGAAGGACAGAAAAGUGAAUUUGUGUUCAAAAUAAGGCUGACGGCUGAAUGUAAAUAAAGGCUUUGUGAAAGAUCAUUAGCGUCACCAUUUUCUGGCUGGGGUUUGCCACAUCACGUGACCUAAAUAUGUAGCGGGCAGCAGGAAUUGAUAGGACUCGGAAACACCCCACAGUUUAAUCAAUUAUUCCUUGUAGGAUUUCUAAUUGAUAAAUCACAGUCAAUUUGUAGUGGGAUCGCAAUCAUGUCAUCUUCAGCAGGCAAGUGACACAGUGUUCACUUCAUGAUUACAGCAACGCCAUGCCAGCAGCUAUAUCUCCCAAUGGGAAAUGUUUAACAAAUCCAUGGAUCCAGACUUUAAGCUGCAUUAAUGCCAAAAUCUAAUCACUUGGUCAUUGUGUCAUUUCUGACCUUCCCUGAAAAUUUCAUCCAAAUCUGUGGGUCCGCUUUUGAGUAAUGUUUCACAUAACUCCGCCAUUCCUUGGCAGAGUAACUAUGAAGUUUUGGUAACAUUUUGGACAACAUCCUAAACGAUGCCGCUUUAUCCACAUUUUGGACGACAUGCUAAACUGUGAAGUUUUACCCCAUUUUGGACGACAUGCUAAACUGUGAAGUUUUAAUGACAUUUUGGAUGACAACCUAAACUAUGACAUUUUUGUGACAUUCUGCACGACAUACUAUGACGUUUUAAUGACAUUUUGGACGAAAUACUAAACUGACGUUUUAGUGAUAUUUUGGAUGACAUACUAAACUAUGAAGCACUGUUCCCUCUAAGCUGCACGUGUGCGCGAUUGCGCACUGCUGACACGGUCUCCGCGCACAGAAAAUCUGCGCUGUGCACAAAAAAAAAUCCAACCUAAAUUGAAAAUAAACACACAACAAUUCAUUCUGUGCUAUUUUUCCAAUGUGAGUCAAUGAGUGACCGGUGACGGGCUGCUGCAGCCAAUGAUGCGAUUCAAAUAAGUAGUUACCAUAGACUGUAUAUAAUGGUAUUUACGCAGCUAAUCAACGUCAAGCGUCCUUAUGUGCAGCCACCAUUGUUCUCAUAGAUAUGAAUGAGUAGAUAGGACACGCCCCUUUGAGCUGCGGCUACAGCGAGGCUAAGCUAGUGGGGGAAAAGUUUCAGUGCAUUCCGAUGAAAACGGAAACAAGUAUGCCGGCCCACUGUGCUGCAUACAAUUGCACACUGCGUCGUACGAUUGAGACAAGGAAACUUGGAAUGACUUUUCAUAGGUUUCCCAGAGACUAUGGGUUGAGGAGGAAUUGGAAGUUUGUCGGCUUAGACCUGGUGUCAUUCCAUCAGUGUUAAACUUCCCGGCUCAUCUUGGAAGAGUAUGUGCCAGAAAGACCACGACCAAGCAGCCUUGAGAUCUUAGGCAGCGUCUCCCUGAGGUCCCUCUCUAUCUCCCCACACAUCCACCAACCACUGGAACACAUCUCCAAAGUUCUGCUGGGCCAGCUCAGCUUCCCCUCAGAAGAAGUGCUGCCACCUGCCAGAUGAAGGAGCCUUUUGAGAGGCAGCUGGCAUCGUGAUUGGACUGUACUUUGGUCUGUUCCAAUCCAGCUUCAGCUCCAGAGACGGCAGGCGGGACGAGUCAACGGAGGCCGGGUGGACGAAGGCAUGCAGCUGAGUACAAUCCAGAAAACAACAGAGGAGGAGUGCAGUGGCCCAGGGCCAGAACAGGGUAGCAUCGUAUGUCUCUUAGAAAACAUCAUAGUAUAGCCUUUGGUAUGAAAAAAUGCCAUCAUAUACAUCGUAUAUUGUACAAAUAACAAGUCAAAGCAAAGAGACAUACAUUGUAGAAUUGUAGUAAUUGUGGGCCGACUGAUUUACUGAUUAUCAGUAUUUUAUUUUUUACUGAUUUAUGGUAAUAAAUACAUUUAAAAAUGGC